rnacentral:rRNA from 1 species
UACGUAGGGGGCAAGCGUUGUCCGGAAUCAUUGGGCGUAAAGCGCGUGUAGGCGGCUCGAUAAGUCCGCUCUGAAAGUCCAGGGCUCAACCCUGGGAUGCGGGUGGAUACUGUCGGGCUCGAGUCCGGAAGAGGCGAGUGGAAUUCCUGGUGUAGCGGUGAAAUGCGCAGAUAUCAGGAGGAACACCAAUGGCGAAGGCAGCUCGCUGGGACGUGACUGACGCUGAGACGCGAAAGCGUGGGGAGCAAACAGGAUUAGAUACCCUGGUAGUCCACGCUGUAAACGAUGGGCACUAGGUGUGGGAGGUGUCGACUCCUCCCGUGCCGAAGCUAACGCAUUAAGUGCCCCGCCUGGGGAGUACGGCCGCAAGGCUAAA